rnacentral:lncRNA from 1 species
UCAAAUUGGGUUGUUCUUAUACCCAAAAUUUACCCAAAACCCACCAACUAGCCCAAAAUUUAGUUGAAGAAGCUGAUCGAUUUCUGCUAUUCUUCUUUCUGUUGUUGAUUGUUGUUAUUCUGUUGUUUCCACCGAAUUCAUGGCCUAGCUCCAGUUUGUUUUUGUUAGUUUUGGUCCAGCAAUGAGGUAAACACAUAAUACUCUUGAUGUAUUUGAGUGUUCUUCAAUAAAAAUGUGUUGUCGAUCUAUUCGGAAUCCGUAUGAUAUUUGUUUUGCUCAGAUUUUUGUAUUUAAACUGUCUCUUCAGUGCUGAAUAUGACUAUGCCUUGGAGCUACAACUCACAGAUGUUAAUUUGAGAUUUUAAAAUUCACUGUGUAUUGAUUUGAUUAGCAGUUGAAAUGCUUACUUUUGGAUUAAAUCCGAAAUGUUGCUUUACGUUAUUCGGCUUGUAUGAUAAUCUCUUUGAUUUGGUUUAAUUCAGUUUAUAUUCUGUCAAACUUUGCCAAUUAGAAAUUAUGUCGAUUUUUGAAGUUAUCGUAAAUGAUAGUUGAUGUGAAAAGCUUCGACACUAGCACGCUUCAGUUCUUAAUUUCAAAUCCAUUCUGUAAUUCAUGUUAUGGAUGGUUACAACAUCUCUUCCAUAGUCAUCUUAUCAAUUAAAUUAUAGACAUAGAAACUCUAGAAUUGGAGUAGAACCAUACUGCAAUGCGCACUAAACACCAGGUAUUAACAAGGUAAGGAUGACGUUAAUAAAUCCGAUGUUCUUUUGGGUAAAAAUGGAACAAGAAACAAGCAAAUUCAAUUUUAAUAUUUUAUUAGUGUAUAGUUUGAUUCUGUUGAUGCAAAGGAAAGGGUUGCUAGUACAACAUAUGGAGAGACAAAGGUAUACUCUUCUAGUUCUAUGCUCUAUGUGAGUGUUAACAAGAUUAUCUACCUGUAUGUGUGUGCUCGUUUGUGAGACUCUCAGGUUGUGUUAGUGAGAGUGUGAUACAUAGAAUUUGUUGUUAUUUUUCUGAAGCUCUUUAUAUAUACUCUUGUAGCUUUGACUUCAUUCUUACUAUGUUACAAUUUUUGUAUAUAUGGUAGUACUUUUUCUUGUAAUUUGUUAUUUCUUUUCCUUCACGUUUCUAUACUUGAAUACUGGACAUUUGGACCAGUUUGGAUUUCUGAUGUGAUGAGCUUCAUAUUUUGGAUUGAAUAAAAAUAAUUAAGCUAUACAAUGCUCUCCAAAAAUCUUGUAUCCAUACCUCAUUCCAUAAAUUGAUAAUUGAAUAAAAGUGGGUAUAAAAGCUAAAAUUGCACUAUAGGUUUGAAACAUAUAUUAAAAUCUGAUAAUAGGCCAAUUAUAAUAGUUUAAGCGACCAUACUAGAACAACGGAAUCCAGGGUUGCCUAACACCUUCCCUCCGGUUAACAGAAUUCCUUAUUCAGAAUUUCUGGUUCGCAGACUUCAAAAGGAGAGUCAAAAUCUUCCUCGAUUUGGGAUUUAAAAAUAAAUCGGUGACUUGGGACACCAAAUAUACUAUCCCAAGUGGUGACUCUGAAAUGAAUAAAUAAUCUCAUUCGCAUAAUAUCACUUAAAUUGGAAAAACUACCUUAUACAUUAUCCUCUUCGGGGUGGUGUGUAAAAAAGUAGGUGUGACAUAUCUCACAGUCAUUGGUUCAUCAAGAUAAGUAAUAGUAAGGUAUAUAAAUAAAGUAAUAAGAGAAAAUAAUAAGAGGAUUGAUUUAUAAGGAAAAUCAAAAUACUUUGAUAAAUUCCAUAACUAUUUUGAACAUUGAUGAUCAUAUAGCAAAAAAGAUUUUAAAAAAUGUGAAAGGAAAGUCAACUAGUAAAACAAUAAAAGAUAGUGCACGAUGCUUGUUCAGCCUUGCUACCCCAAGCCUCGCCGAGCUGUGGUGGUUCUGAUGGUCUAGUUACCGUGCUUACAGCCUGUAUGGAAAGGCCUUGCUCUCCUUCCUCCAUGAAGACGACACAACAAUCUAUAUCAUCAUCUUCCAGGAACAAAUUCCGUACUGCUUCCAGUGCUUCCUCUUCUUCUAACACAUAGAUAACUUCGGUCGGCUGGAAAGUCUGUUCCAAGCGUGGUAUUGGUUGCUCCAAUGGGUAGUAAGGGUCGUGCCAUGGUGGUAACCAGUUUUUUGAAUUCCUUCCAGGUAUACCUAUAUCCCAAAUCGAAGUUAGUGUCAUGUUUCUUUAAUUUAAUAGGAUUAGAAAUUCCUUGGAGGUUCUUGCCAAGUCCCUUACCAGGUUUGUAUCUGCUCCAGUGCAAUAUUCUUUCAAUUAUGCUAUCCCACAAUUUGUCCUUGUUAACAGCAUUAACUCGCUCGAUGUGAUGAUAAGUCUCCCCGCCUAUCUUUUUGUUGCCUUCUAUUAAUGGGAUUGUCUGGCGAUUGUAUAUGGGAUUGCUACCAUCGCCAUGAAUGAUCAACUCUUGGUGAUUCCACUCAAACUUCACUUCCUGAUAUAGUGUUGAUGCUACGGCCCCAGUUGCAUUGAUCCAUGAUUGUCCCAACAAUAUAUUGUAAGAUGAUAGCACGUCUAUUACUUGAAAAUCAACAUCAAACUGGGUAGGCCCCAUUUGAAAACACAGGCUAAUUUCCCUAAUUAUGGACCUUUGGGAACCGUCAAAAGCUUUGAUGUUGAUAGCCCCGUCCUUGAUCUUAUGCAGUCCUUUCCCAUUGUCUUGAGUGUUACCAAUGGACAAAUAUUGAGGCUAGACUCUCCAUCAAUUAGGAUUCUGGUGAUAAAGUAAUCUUCGCGUUGCACAGUGUUGUGCAACACCUUGUUGUGACUCAAACCUUUUGGUGGCAUCUUAUCUUCAUGAAAAGUGAUCUCGUGACUCUUCAAUUCUUGCAUCGGUUUCAUAUUCCCAUGGUAUGGCAUUUAUAUGGAAUUGUGUCACGGCCGACAUUUCCACUGAAAUUGGCGCGGCUAUCAUUACUAUGAACGGAUCAUGCACCUUGGGCGGUAAAAUUGCAACUUCAAAGGGUAUAGGCACAUUUACCGGUGACAUGAAUUCAACCUCAAUAGUGAUUGGCGUCUUUGUAGAGGAUAGUGUUUCGAACUGAAGCGGCAUGGACAUAUUUACCUCGGUGUCCCCAGAGGGUUGAAUCUGGAAUACAAUCGAAUUAAGGGUGACUAUUGGCUUCUUUGGGUUGUCACUUUCUGUGAUUAAACUCAUUGAUCCCCUGGGAUCCAAUCGUCCUCUAUUUCAAUCAUGUAAAUGCCUCCACCCGAAUGAUCUGGCAGAGGGUUAUCACAUACAUUUAGAGCAGGUUCCUUUUUUACAAUAAUCAUGUUAUCAAUCCAACUCUUACUCUUAUCUUUGAGAGAGGCAUUCGUCAAUGGUGUGCCAUUUUAUGCCGGAAUGGUAUGCACAGGACUUAUAUGGAUUAACCGAUUAAGAAGAGUUCUUAGGAGCAGUGGGAUAAGGGUGAUGUAAAUAGCAGUUUUAAGUCUUUCAUACAACUGGUCGAUAGGUUCAACAAUAGCCCUAUACUGGCUUGGGGUCUUCGGUAAAAGUAUUGUCAGGGUCUAGGGAAGUUUUGGCGUGGAGGUGGGGACUGGUAGUGGGAUGGUUAAGUGUUGUAGUCUUGUCAAGCAUGCACUGGUUGGGAAUAUAUAGGUGAAGUGGGCUGAUAUAUGGGAAGUGACUGAUUGGUGAGACGUGAGUUGGGUAAGAUGGCGAGGGUGCUUGGUAGUUUGGGGUAGGCUGAUAUGGGAGUGGAGGUAUUGGGUGUGUUUGGUAUUUGACGGGAGAUUUGGUUCUCUACGUCACUAUUAUGGCUCCUAGGUCCCUUUUCUUGGACACACCGCCUGACUAUAAGGCCUUGUUUGUAGCUUGCAAGGCCUCAAAUUUUGUAACCAUGCCGCAUUUGAUGCCCUUUUCGAUCCUUUCUCCUAGCUUGAUAAUGUCAGAAAAUUUGUAGCCCUCGAUUAUCAUCAACCUCUCAUUAUACUGUGGGUCUAGGGCCCGGAUGAAGAAUUCGUUCAUUUGUUCUUCCUCUAGGGCAGGUCUAACCUUGGCAGCUUCGGACCUCCAACGGGUAUCAUAUUCUUGGAAGGUUUUUGUGGCCUUCUUCUUCAGGUUUUGGAUAUAGAACACAUCUGGCGCAUACUCUGUAUUGAACCUGAAUCUAUCCAUAAAAUCAGAAGUCAUGCUUACCCAGUUCGACCACUUAUUUAGAUCUUGGCUAAUGUACCAAGAUAAAGCAUCUCCCUUCAAGCUCCUCAUGAAAAGCUUCAUGCGAAUUUUCUCUUGUUUUUCUACUCUAACCAAUUUGUCACAGUAUGUUCCAAAAUGGAUCCUUGGAUCUCCGAUACCAUCAAACAGUUCAAUCUUAGGAGGUUUGUACCCCUUGGCCAGUUUGACAUCGGGCUGUAUGAAAAGAUCUUCGCAGUUUAGCCCCUCAAUUCCCUUACUACCUUCAAUGCCUUAAAUUCUGCUAGUCUACCUUUAAGUUCUUCGGCCAGGUUUCAGAUGAGCAAGUCCUUUUCAUCGGACUCGGAUGCACUUGAUAUGGGAUAGGUGGACUGUGGCACAGUCUCUACAUAGAUUGGGGUAUUAUGUUUGGGUGUGGCAGUGGUCAUUUGUGCAGUGGGUGAGAAGUGGGUGUUAUUUGAGGUAUGGCAAGUAUUGCAGUGGUGGUGAGAAAUGGGUCUUGUUGCUUUGGGAUAUUUUGUGGAGGUACAUGAUUCUAAACAAUUGGGAAAUUAACCUCUGGAGUGGCGAGGGAAAAUGGCAGAUUUGCCAGAUUCCGAACUUGGUCGAGUUCUUCUUGAAAUUUCAGCAGCUUCUGCUCUAGUUGGGUUGCAUUUUCCUUGAGAACCAGAGUACCGUGACCAUGAGUGACCUCUACCCGUUCAGUUGAGUUUUCCUUUCUAGCGUUGUUCAAUUCUUCCAUCUUCCCUUUAUUCUUGUGUCCGAUAGAACUGAGAGAAGAAGUAGGUGGAAAGCCCCUGGAUCUCGUUAGACAAGAUGAUGAUGCCAGAGUGCACGAACUAACCUUUGGGGAGGGGGAAUAAUAAAAAAAAGUAAAAACAAAAAGGUAACAAGUUAGUGUGGAUUAUAACAAAAGACAUUGCAAUAUUUAAAAACAUAGUGCAGGAAUGUAAGGCGUGUCUUAAUUUGGCAACCUCGUUGUGCUCGAGGUAGGCCGAGCAAAAAUUAAUUUGGAGAACUCAGAAUGCUAAAUGCCUCAUUUUAUUGGUAGAAUAUAAGAUGAAUCCAAAAUCGACACUAAAUAACAGGAAAUAGAAAUUGCUAGUGGUCCUUGGACUUAUUACAUUUUACAAAGCAAAAUGAAAACUCCAAUCUAUUUGGUCACAGAAGGACCUUCCCCGAAUUCGGCGUCCUUGGCUAUAUCAAACAGCUUCCCUAACUCCCACAGUCCCAGUAGCAGGUAGGCUCUGGCCAGAUGUCCGCCUUCAUUACCUUCAGCAUUCCGAUAGUCUUUGACCCUUUUGAGAAAUUUCUUUUCCAACUCUACUAUACCUCGCUCCAAAUAUCCCUGUCAUUUGUUUGCGCUGACAACCAUAUCCUUCCACUCAUCAAUUAGUUUUUAAUUGGCUUCCUGUAUCUCACGAUGCUCACUUUAGCAUUCGCGGAUCGUCUUGCAUAGUUGAUUGUACUUGACCUGUGCCUCGGCCAUCUCAUCUAUGAUUUUGUGACCUCGAAUAAAAAUGGGUUGACCUGGACCAUCGUGUCUAUCCUCCAACCAGCCUGAAUAAUAGGGAGACAACUAGCAUGGUAUUUAUGCGACUCGAUGGUUUCCCUCCCUAGGACAAUCUUGCAGUGCCACAUAUGCUGAGUCUGGAACUUGUAAGGACUAUCGUCAUCCUGGAAGUCGGCUCGGAACUGUGAGCACGUGACUUUUUCCUCGCUUGACAUGUUCCUAUAAAUUCAUCAAAUUAGGAUUUAUCUUUUACUAUUUGAACUUUUAGGAUUUAUUUGCGUGAUUUUUGUGUUUAUUUGCAUUUUACCUUUUUAAUUGUUUGAUAUUAGGAAUUAUUUGAGUAACUUUGUGUUUAUUUGCAUUCUUGUUUUAUUAUUUGGAUUUUAGGAAUUAAUUGCAUGACUUUGUGUUUAUUUGCAUAUUGUACGUUUUAAUUAAUUUAAUUCAUAAAAAAUAUAAAAAUGGCAUGUUUGCAUUUAAGAUUUAAUUUUCACAUUCUUUAGGUUAUUAAUUAGUUAAUAUUGGAUAUAAGGAAAAAAACAACAAAUAUGGGUUAAUUUUCUUUGAAAUUUAGAGAGUUUAUUUAGUUUAUUUCAUGAUAAAAUAUAUUUUGGCUCUUUUUAUUUUUGUUAUCAUAAAAUCUGAAAAUAUAUAAUAAAACAAAAUACAAAAAAUAGAAUAUACAAUAUUUGCCUUGUUUGGGCUAAUUCUUGCAUGAAGCUUAGCCCGAAAAACCCAAACCCACCAAAAUAGACCCAAACCCAGCCCCUGCCCGGUCCAAAACCCUAAGAAAUAAAACGACGCAGUUUUGAAUCAAGAAAUUUAGGCCAUUGAUCAAGCCUGAUCGGACGGUCAAGAUGCAACGUUGGGUACCCUAUAUAAUUGUCACAUAAUACCACCCCCUUACACUGAGACCUCGUACCUUGUUCAGGUUUACCCUAACUUGAGGUCGAAUAUUAAUCUUUAAAGGUCGUUUGAGUUUCAAAAUCGAGUUGUAUGUUUGUUUUGGUCAAAAACAAACCUAUGACUCCGCUUGGAGGCUCAAAUUGAAUUCAGUCAAGUUUUUUCUUGAAGAGCAAUUGGUAAGUGUCAUUUUUUUUUUCUUUCUUCUGUUUAUUUUUGUUGUUUUUCUUCUUUGUCAAUACUUUCAUCUCGCUUUAAGUUUUGGCUAUUUGUUUAAUUAGAAGUACUAAUUAGUUUUAUUCAGAAUUAAGUUGGAUUUUGGUGACCAAUUAGUUGGCAUGAAUUUUUGUUAUUUUGGUUUUUUUUGGUAAUCCCUUAGGUUGAGAUUCCUACCAUGUUUUGAAUUACCCCCUUCUUUAGCUUAACGACCAUGUCUGAUCUAGUCUUAAUUCCUGAACCCUCAUGUUCAUUAUUCAGUUUAUUUUAAUAUUCAACAAAUCGUUGGUAGUAGUUUAAAUGGGAAUCAGUUUCUGUUUUGAUUAGUCCAAAUGGUAUAAAAAGCAACUUUUCAUGUUUUCCUUUAAUUUCAGUAUUUAAUUGGAAUUUUUGAUUCAGUGGUGUUUUGAUUUCUGAGUUGGACUGUUGUUUAUUCCUGAUUAAUAGUUCAAAUUUAAUUAAGGUUUGGUUAUAGCUUAUAAUUAGCUAAGUAAUUAAUUAGCUGAGUAAAGCAGUAAUUUCAGCACAUUAAAAGGGUAAUAUAGGGUUUUAACUUAGUGCGGGUAGUUUUAAGAUUAAAACAAGGGUAGUAUAGGUAUCCUAUCAACAAGAAACAAAGCUAGAAUCUUUUAGACCCUUCUAGAAGGGGAUUUUAGUUUAAAAAUCAGUAGCUUAGUGUAGUAACUUGGGAAACAAGUCAAAAAACGAAGGACCGAGUAGGUAAAAUAUGAAAAUCAAAAGAGGGACUAGUAGUUAAAAUGAAAUAAAAGGGUUGCCCUAGCCUUUGGCUAUAAAAGGGACCCCAAUUCAUUCAAAAAGGGGGUUACACAAGUCUGAAAAUCACUAAGAAAAUUCCAGAUAUCUUACCUAAAAAUCCCCAAAACUUCCUAAAAAAUGUCCAGAAAUCCUAACUUUUAAGAGUUAUAAAGUUUUCUAGAGUUCAGGGGUUUCUACUGUUUCGUUGGAUUUCUUCUCCUGAAAAUAAUCCUAACUCCACUUAUGCAGUAGAAACUUUGUUAUACAAAAAUGAAAAACAUCCUGAGUAAACAUAUAUUCACAGAGCUGAGUGUCCAACAUUAGGCCUGAAUUCAGUUUGAGUCAAUUAGGUCAUUAUUACAACCAUUUUGAGUUAGGGUAUUGAGUGAUUAUGUAUGAAAGCUCUACUGGGUUCAUUAUUGGAUAGUUGAGGUUCAUGUGAGUCAUUUGGUGGUUUCUUACUAGUUUAAGUUUGGUUUUAAACUUCUCUAAUCGUUUGGUAGUAUUUCUGGUGCAUCAAUUGCUCAUAAGCUAUGGUUGCCAAUGAUUAUUAUGCUGUUUGAGUAUUGCUGACCUUCAGUUUUGUUUUUCACACCUUCCAGGUACCUUUCAACCUCCAAUUAUGUAUGAAGCUUAGGCUUAAUGAAUACUUAAGUUGAAGAAUGCAUAUUUCUCGUUUCUUUAUCAGUUUUUGUCACUAUUAUUUUGUCUUUAUAGUUAAGACACUGGAUUGUAUAACAGGACAUUUGGAUUGAUGAGUUGAACUGCAGGACUAUAGUUCGCGUUUGUCGUUUCGUUUGGGUCCUUGCAUAAGGACAAUUAGCUGUGUAUUUGGUUGAUGAACAUUGAUUUAGG